GACGAACCGAGCGAACGUUGUUCGGAAUCACUGGGCUUAAAGGGCGCGUAGGCGGGUGCUCAAGUCUGUGGUGAAAUCCUCCAGCUUAACUGGAGAACUGCCAUGGACACUGGGUGUCUCGAGGAACGUAGGGGUAUGCGGAACGAUUGGUGGAGCGGUGAAAUGCGUUGAUAUCAAUCGGAACUCCGGUGGCGAAGGCGGCAUACUGGACGUUUUCUGACGCUGAGGCGCGAAAGCCAGGGGAGCAAACGGG
rnacentral:rRNA from 1 species